rnacentral:rRNA from 1 species
CUAAGCAGUGAGGUGUGAUGUGAGUCAAAUGCUUACAUCUAUAACAUUGAGCUGUGAAGGGGAGCGAAGUUAAGUAGCGAAGUUAGAGACGUCACACUGCCAAGAAAAGCUUCUAGCGAUACGUAUACUCUACCCGUACCGCAAACCGACACAGGUAGUCGAGGCGAGUAGCCUCAGGUGAUCGAGAGAACUCUCGUUAAGGAACUCGGCAAAAUGGCCCCGUAACUUCGGGAGAAGGGGCGCUGACUGAAGGUCAGCCGCAGUGAAUAGGCCCAAGCAACUGUUUAUCAAAAAAACACAGCUCUCUGCUAAAUCGUAAGAUGAUGUAUAGGGGGUGACGCCUGCCCGGUGCUGGAAGGUUAAGAGGAGUGCUUAGCGCAAGCGAAGGUAUGAAUUGAAGCCCAGUAAACGGCGGCCGUAACUAUAACGGUCCUAAGGUAGCGAAAUUCCUUGUCGGGUAAGUUCCGACCCGCACGAAAGGCGUAAUGAUUUGGGCACUGUCUCAACGAGAGACUCGGUGAAAUUUUAGUACCUGUGAAGAUGCAGGUUACCCGCGACAGGACGGAAAGACCCCAUGGAGCUUUACUGCAGUUUGAUAUUGAGUAUCUGUACCACAUGUACAGGAUAGGUAGGAGCCAUAGAAGUCGGGACGCCAGUUUCGAUGGAGGCGAUGUUGGGAUACUACCCUUGUGUUAUGGCUACUCUAACCCGGAUAGGUGAUCCCUAUCGGAGACAGUGUCUGACGGGCAGUUUGACUGGGGCGGUCGCCUCCUAAAAUGUAACGGAGGCGCCCAAAGGUUCCCUCAGAUUGGUUGGAAAUCAAUCGCAGAGUGUAAAGGUAUAAGGGAGCUUGACUGCGAGAGCAACACCUCGAGCAGGGACGAAAGUCGGGCUUAGUGAUCCGGUGGUACCGUAUGGAAGGGCCAUCGCUCAACGGAUAAAAGCUACCCUGGGGAUAACAGGCUUAUCUCCCCAAGAGUUCACAUCGACGGGGAGGUUUGGCACCUCGAUGUCGGCUCGUCGCAUCCUGGGGCUGUAGUCGGUCCCAAGGGUUGGGCUGUUCGCCCAUUAAAGCGGCACGCGAGCUGGGUUCAGAACGUCGUGAGACAGUUCGGUCCCUAUCCGUCGCGGGCGUAGGAAAUUUGAGAGGAUCUGCUCCUAGUACGAGAGGACCAGAGUGGACUUACCGCUGGUGUACCAGUUGUCUCGCCAGAGGCAUAGCUGGGUAGCUAUGUAGGGAAGGGAUAAGCGCUGAAAGCAUCUAAGUGCGAAGCCCUCCUCAAGAUGAGAUUUCCCAUAACGUUAAGUUAGUAAGAGCCCUGAGAGAUGAUCAGGUAGAUAGGUUAGGAGUGGACGUGUGGUGACACAUGGAGCGGACUAAUACUAAUAGCUCGAGGACUUAUCCAA